AGCAGCCGCGGUAAUUCCAGCUCCAAUAGCGUAUAUUAAAGUUGUUGCAGUUAAAAAGCUCGUAGUUGAAUUUCGGGGUCAAUAAGUUGGUCGUGCCAAUGGUAUGUACUGGCUUUAUUGAUUCCUACCUCUUGACGAACUGUGAUGCCAUUAAUUUGGUGUUGCAGGAAAUCAGGACUGUUACCUUGAAAAAAUUAGAGUGUUUAAAGCAGGCUUACGCUUGAAUACAUUAGCAUGGAAUAAUGAAAUAGGACGUUUGAACCUAUUUUGUUGGUUUCUAGGAUCGACGUAAUGAUUAAUAGGGAUAGUUGGGGGCAUUAGUAUUCAAUUGUCAGAGGUGAAAUUCUUGGAUUUAUUGAAGACUAACUACUGCGAAAGCAUUUGCCAAGGAUGUUUUCAUUAAUCAAGAACGAAAGUUAGGGGAUCGAAGACGAUCAGAUACCGUCGUAGUCUUAACCAUAAACUAUGCCGACUAGGGAUCGGAUGAUGUAAUUUUUAAUGACUCAUUCGGCGCCUUAC
rnacentral:rRNA from 1 species